GUUUUUUUUAAUAAUAACUGCUGCUGCUGCUGAGUGUUGGUACAAUUUUCUCAAAGACAUUUUCCAUCUCUGAAAGGAUCCUUUCAGAAUUCUAAAUCCGGCCCUUAUUUGACUGUGUAUUUAAUAAUUGCUGCUUUUGCUGCUGCUGAGAGUUGGUACAAUUUUAUAAAAGGCAUUUUCCAUCACUGAAAGGUUCCUUUCUGAUUUAUAAGUCUGUGCUUUGUUUGUCUGUGUAUUUAAAAAAUUGAGGAGCACUGACUACAAGUGCUUCGUUUCUGUACUGCUGGAGUUUUCGUUUCUGUACUGCUGGAGUUGUGCUGAGAACAGGAUCCUUUCUGAUUUCUAAGUCUGGCCUUUGUUUGUCUGUGUAUUUACAAAAUUAAGGAGCACCAACUAGUCUACAAAUGCUUCAUUUCUGUACUGCUGGAGUUGUGCUAGAAACGGGAAGAUACUUUCAGAUUUGCUAAAUCUGGCCUUUGUUUGACUGUUUAUUUACAAAUUUAAGAGCAACAAUUACAAAUGCUUUGUUUAUGGACUACAAAUUAAUCUACAGACUGCUGAUGGAACUGAGCUGAAAACAAAUCAGUUUCUGUAUUUUUCGAAAAAUGCUGCUUACUGCUGCUGCUGACA